GCCAGCAGACCACCCCCCACAUGGAGCCAUACCUUCCCCUCUUGCCUUGAGAGACGACAGCAGGAGAACCCCUGACCUGAUGGGCAUGAGGGACGAGAUUUCUGUGUUUGGCACAUCACCCAAAGACCUUGCAGCAGGAAGCUUCAGAGGAACCCCACCUCCACUGCCACCUCCUACUUACAGGAGUGUGGUGGGCUCUCCGGGGCCUGGCAGUGGGCCGUCCUCUCCCGCACGUGCCGGCACUCCCCUGUCUGCUGGCAGUCCGAUCCCACCUCUACCACCAAGACCAUCAUCACGUCCUAAACUACCACCUGGAAAACCAAACCUAGCAGAUCUGGCCCGACCCUUCAGCCCCCCCAUCCACUCGUGGAGUCCUCCACCCUUUGCUCCUCUGGCCAGAGCUGAGAGCACCUCCUCCAUCUCCUCCGUCACCUCCCUGAGCGCAGCCUCCACACCUACACUAGGCCGAGAGCUCAACCUCUCUGUGUCAGGUGGGCCACAACAGAGCUGUCCCAUGUCAGUUAUUGCUGA
rnacentral:lncRNA from 1 species